UGUCCAGACUCCUACGGGAGGCAGCAGUGGGGAAUAUUGCACAAUGGGGGAAACCCUGAUGCAGCGACGCCGCGUGAGUGAAGAAGUAUUUCGGUAUGUAAAGCUCUAUCAGCAGGGAAGAAAAACCGACCAUAGGGUCGCUAGACGGUACCUGAUUAAGAAGCCCCGGCUAACUACGUGCCAGCGGCCGCGGUAAUACGUAGGGGGCGAGCGUUAUCCGGAUUCACUGGGUGUAAAGGGAGCGUAGACGGCCAUGCAAGCCAGGGGUGAAAGCCCGGGGCCCAACCCCGGGACUGCCCUUGGAACUGUGCGGCUAGAGUGCGGGAGGGGCAGGCGGAAUUCCUAGUGUAGCGGUGAAAUGCGUAGAUAUUAGGAGGAACACCAGUGGCGAAGGCGGCCUGCUGGACGAUGACUGACGCUGAGGCCCGAAAGCGUGGGGAGCAAACAGGAUUAGAUACCCGCGUAAGU
rnacentral:rRNA from 1 species